UGAUUGAAGCCGGAAUUUUGAACCAGCGACCUAAGGAUCACUGCUAUACAUCCAAAGUCCUCCGCUUUGCCUAAGAAUAAGCAUAUUUACGCC